CCACGUAUUGCUCUCAACUAUGUUUCGUAAAUGACACGCGUUGUAUAUAAAGACAGCUUCCACCUUAUUAUCACAUGCUUUUUUCGUUAUCAAGCAUUGCCCGGGUCAUCCGGCAGCAAAUUGUGUAACUCUGAGUUAUUUUGAAUCCCAUGUUAGCAGAGAAAGUGUAUGACUGUGUUUUUCAUUGGAGGUCUGCAUCUUUCCAUGAACCAGAAUCCCAGGAAAAAUCUGGUGGAUUUGGUAAUCUGUAUCACCUACUGGAGGAAUAAAAUAUUCUCUAGUCCAGUGCCCAAUGCCAAGAAUUGAACCUUGCUGCAGCUUGAACUCUUUCAUCAGGUAUUUGCAGUUUCUACAAAGGAGAAUGCAGGAGCUGUAUAUGACAUAGCAAGCCUGGAGAUUUGCUGCUUUUUCAUUGAGCCAUAUGAUGCAGAAGAUAGAUUUGUUUGUUGAGGUGAUGGCUUCUGCAAAUUGUUCUUCGUUGGUAGGGAAGAGAAAGCACCGAAAUGAUUUUGUCAGUGCUGUCAAUACAAAACUAGAAGUGGGUACAACAAAGACAUCAGAUUCAUUAGGGAAUGCAAAAGAAAUUUCCAGUGUCUUGGCUCCUAUUAGAGUGAAUUCAUCAUGCAGACCUGACACAGAGAAGAAGUUUGAAGAUGAAGAAUGUUGUGUGACACCCAAAUCUGAGGAACACAAGAUACCCUCCAUGACAGUAUGCC